UGGCGUAACGAAUAUAGUUUUUUAUAGAACUUUGAGUCUGCAUUUUCAAUAUUCCAUAUUUGGUUAUAUGAGUGUGCAUCAUAGUGGAGUUUAUCUAGAUGGUAGGUCAACGGCUGGUUAUGCUGGAGGCCCUCAGCCCAACUUGGAAGACAGGAGUUAAAGUCAACUAAAUCACGCCAUGCCACUGAUAUCUUGUUUUUAUCACUAUCGUUAAUUUUUAAAUAAAUAAGUCACCAAAAUA